GCUUUCCAUCAUUCUUCUACAUUCUCCAGUUAAAGGCUAGAAGUAGUGCUAUGUCAUUUGCUCUUUGAUUUACACAUACAGUAACCAUGGAGAUAUAAAGUGGCCCUUAUAUAACAAUUCAUCUUAUAGGAAAGCUAUUUUCUAGUUUACUAUAAAGUGACCUUGAUUUGACAAUUUCAAAGGCAUGCUUAACAUUAUACAAUAAAUUAUUUUG